rnacentral:lncRNA from 10 species
UCUCUGCCCGGCCGCCCAUCGUCUGAGAUGUGGGGAGAGCCUCUGCCCCGCCGCCCCGCCUGGGAUGUGAGGAGCGCCUCUACCCGGCCGCGACCCCGUCUGGGAGGUGAGGAGCGUCUCUGCCCGGCCGCCCCGUCUGAGAAGUGAGGAGACCCUCCGCCUCGCAGCCGCCCCGUCUGAAAAGGUGGCUGUCAAUAGAUUGGCCCAAAAGGAAGAACAAGGAAAAGGGCACCAAAGAAGAUAAAUGAAAAUACAAGGGUAUAAGCUGAACUGUGGACAUCCUGCCACUGGGAAUUAAGUUAAAGUAGAAAAAAGCAGAAUGUAAUGGGGAGUCCCCUCACAAGAAGAAUUUGGAUCAAAGCAUGGCAGUGAGGGGAAGCAUUGAGCAGUGCCGAUUUCAAAUGAAGACUGACUUGAUCCUGAACAUAACCUACAAGAAGAAAGGGACCACAGGCUAUACACAAAGCAUGGUGCCGGCAUCUGCUUCUGGUGAGGGCCUCAGGAAGCUUACAAUCAUCUUGGAAGGUGAAGAGGAAGCCAGCGCAUCACAUGGCAAGAGAGGGAGCAAGAGAGAAGGGGACAGUGCCGCACACUUUAAAAAAAAACCUUAUCUCACGAGGCAGAACUAACUGAGUGAGAGUUCACUCAUCACCAAGGGAAUGGUGCUGAGUCAUUCAUGAGGGAUCCCCCUGCCGCCCCCGUGAUCCAAUCACCUCCCACCAGACCCCACCUCCAACACUGGGGAUUACAUUUCAACAUGAGACUUGGGGGGGACAAACAUCCAAACCAUGUCAGUCUUCAACCCCUCUUCCUGACAUACAACUCCUAAAACUCUUAGAAUCUCCAAAGUGCUGUCUUUUUAUGUGUUAGUAAUUGGCUAGUGGCUCACAGCCCCUUGGUAGCUUCAGGAUGGGGCCUGGUCACUGGAAAGACCAAGUCAUAAUUAGAGGGUUGAGACUUUCAGCCCACCCCCAACAUCUGGGGAGAAGAGAAGGGCCGAAGCUCAAAUUGAUCACCAAUGGCCAGUGUUUUAAUUAAUCAUGUGGCCAGGCGUGGUGGCUCACGCCUGUAAUCCUAGCACUUUGGGAGGCUGAGGCAGGUGGAUCACGAGGUCAGGAGAUGGAGACCAUCCUGGCUAACACGGUGAAACUCCAUCUCUACUAAAAAUACAAAAAAUUAGCUGGAUGCGGUGGCAUGCGCCUGUAGUCCCAGCUACUCAGGAGGCUGAAGCAGGAGAAUCACUUGAACCCGGGAGGCAGAGGUUACAGUGAGCCGAGAUUACACCACUGCACUCCAGCCUGGGUGACAGAGCCAGACUCCAUCUCAAAAAAACAACAACAAAAAAAGACAAAUAAAAUAAAUAAAAAUAAUGAAUCAUGCCUAUGUAAUGAAGCCUCCAUAAAAACACAAAAGAAUAGGGUUCAGGGAGCCUCUGGAUAGCUGAAUAUCUGGAGGCUCCUAGAGAGUGGCAUGUCCAGAGGGCAUGGAAGCUCUGUGCCCCUUUUUCACCCUAUACACCUCAUCAUCUGUAUGCUUGGUAAU